rnacentral:ncRNA from 1 species
AAAGCGGUAUCGUAAGUCCUGGAGCGGCUGGGUGUUCGUAGAACACCCCACUCUGCUGCAAGCGGUGGUUAUCGGCUCCCAGGCAGAGCCGCUAU